rnacentral:sRNA from 2 species
ACACUACACUUGCUGAAUCCUGGAAUACCCAGGUACGGAGGAACCAAAAAAAAAAGGGGCUAAUCCAUGAAUGACAUGGUAGGGAACCUUCUAUCCCGAACCCGUCAGCUAACUUCGGAAGCAAAUAAUAGGAAGGAGUG